rnacentral:rRNA from 1 species
UAGGUGAACUGCGGUAGGAUCAUU